rnacentral:misc_RNA from 1 species
AACGCACAUUGCGCCCGCUAGUAUUCUGGCGGGCAUGCCUGUUCGAGCGUCAUUUCAACCAUCAAGCCCCCGGCUUGCGUUGGAGCCCUGCGGCUGCCGCAGGCUCCCAAAUCUAGUGGCGGGCUCGUCGUCGUACCGAGUGCAGUAAACAUCCUCGCUCAGGGAACGCGUCGGGUUCUUGCCGUGAAACCCCCCCCAUAUUAAGGUUGACCUCGGAUCAGGUAGGAAUACCCGCUGAACUUAA